UACGAAACGUAGAUAAGGAUUAGUAUAAUUUGAUUCGUUUUUUAAAGAGAGGGAAUGGUUGGUGUGAAUUCCUAAAAACGCAAAUUGGAACCUGCCUUUAAGUUCGCCAUCAGAAAAGCGUUAAUGCUGUAAGAUGUGCGCGGUUCAUAACCGUUAUCAAGCUAAGUGUACAGGUGUGUUUUCCUGUAAACAAGGGUGGUACCACCAAACCUCGGUCCCUUUU
rnacentral:ncRNA from 1 species